rnacentral:lncRNA from 1 species
AUGGAAGCAUCUGAAAUGCCUAAAUGUUGCUCUCUCUGGUGCAGAAGAUCUAUGAGAUUCAGGAGCAGCUGCUCCAAGAUAUUAUCACAUGAAGUCUGUGGAUCUGGCUGUUGUGGAUGCCAUGGUGCCCUGCCCAGACCAAACCUUCAGGGCCAAAACACUCACUCUGCCACCUUCUCUGUAAGUGUUGGCAGUUGAUGGCUGUCAG